UACGUAGGGUGCGAGCGUUGUCCGGAAUUAUUGGGCGUAAAGAGCUCGUAGGCGGUGUGUCGCGUCGGCCGUGAAAACCUGGGGCUCAACUCUGGGCGUGCGGUCGAUACGGGCAUCACUUGAGUUCGGCAGGGGAGACUGGAAUUCCUGGUGUAGCGGUGAAAUGCGCAGAUAUCAGGAGGAACACCAGCGGCGAAGGCGGCGCUCUGGGCCGGUACUGACGCUGAGGAGCGAAAGCGUGGGGAGCGAACAGG
rnacentral:rRNA from 1 species